rnacentral:piRNA from 1 species
UUGGAAAACAUAUCCAGUCUUUGUUGCCA